UACGUAGGGGGCUAGCGUUAUCCGGAUUUACUGGGCGUAAAGGGUGCGUAGGCGGUCUUUCAAGUCAGGAGUGAAAGGCUACGGCUCAACCGUAGUAAGCUCUUGAAACUGUGAGACUUGAGUGCAGGAGAGGAGAGUGGAAUUCCUAGUGUAGCGGUGAAAUGCGUAGAUAUUAGGAGGAACACCAGUUGCGAAGGCGGCUCUCUGGACUGUAACUGACGCUGAGGCACGAAAGCGUGGGGAGCAAAUAGGAUUAGAUACCCUGGUA
rnacentral:rRNA from 1 species